rnacentral:antisense_RNA from 1 species
GCUCGCCUGGCUGGAGCCUCUGGGAGGCCACAGGGGAAGGGCUCCGCUUCCAGAGGUGCAAGCCAGGAGUUGAAGUAGCACCUGGAGGCCAGGAACCUGGUGGCUGUUAGAGCGCUGGCCACCAGAUGUCGCUGCGGCCACACCAGCCUCCCCGCCCUGACCCAGCCCACCUCCCACCUGUCUGACUUGCUCACCCUCACAGUUCCUAUUCUGCCCCUCUGGACACCUAGGAAUAUGUUCCCAUCACACCCUCCAGCAUUAAAGUUAUGGGGCGUGGUGAGUCAGCAUCUGAAUUCCCAGAGCUACAUCCAGACUUGCCAGGAUACCUCCGACAAGUCACUCAAUCGCUUUGGGAUUCAGAUUCCAAACUGCAGGUCAACGUCCCGGCCCCCCCAACACCUGCCCUGCUCCUUCCUCACCGAUUCACUGGCCGCUCCGUGUCCAGCAGCUUGAGGAUGGAUUUCCCGUCCAUAUCCACGGGAAAACCCUGAAGGGCCAGGAGGUUUCGGCCCUGGCCUGGCUGCGGGUUUGGAGCCACGCCCACCAAGAGGCAUGCAGCGGGCACCUACCGUCUCCAUGGAGUCGUCCACCGACAUGAGGGUCUGCAAGCGCUUCCGCUGGAGCAUGUUGGUGAAUUCCAUGUGGAUGGGCUUCAUGGGCCCCGUGUAGCGCAUGAUCCAGUGUUUGUCCGGGUUGGGGGCGUAGUUGUAGCUCGGCGUGCUGGUAGGCAAGGACAUACGCAUCGGUCAAAGCCAGGGACAGCCUGGACCCUGCCCGGCCCCCACCAGACCUGCCCGGAUGAGCAGCCACCCUGUGCUGUGUCUGCAGCCCAGGGCCAGGUGUGCUCCCCUGGUGGGAAACGGGACAUUGGCAUGUCAGGGGCUUAUCCAAACCGUUUCAGCGUUUCUCCACGUGUGAAGUGUGCACAUGGGAAGCUCCUAAGAGGCACAGCAUUCAGUGACCUUGAGUGACAAAGUGAGACAGCCAGUCCCUUGUCGGCUCUCUCAGGGCAAAGUCCCAGUUUGGUGCUAGUGUUUCUUUAACACCUCUCUAGACUUUGCUCAUCUCCCUUUUGAAAAAAGGGAAGAAAGUCAAGUUCAGAGCCUUCAUCGGGAACCAGUACCCAACUCAAAUUCUGUAGCAUUGCUUUGUGUGCCUUGUACCUAUUUUUGGUAGAUGGCAGUUACCUUUGGUGAAUGGCAGGUGGCAGUUAUUGUGGUUAAGGUACGACCACAGGCCCACAAAAUAUCCUUUUGCAAUUGAUUUUAGUUUGAAAUAAUAGAAAUUGAUUUAAAAAUUCAAUAAGUUAUAGUUACAUGUGUAAGGCCAGAAUUGUGAGGAAGGCACCUGAAUGUGCACAUUUGGGACACGCCACAUUCUUUUUUAUUUUUUGAGACGGAGUCUCGCUCUGUCGCUCAGGCUGGAGUGCAGGGGCACGAUCUCAGCUCACUGCAACCUCCACCUCCCAGUUCGAGCGAAUCUCCUGCCUCAGCCUCCCAAGUAGCUGGGACUACAGGCGCGUGCCACCACACCUGACUAAUUUUUUUGUAUUUUUAGUAGAAAUGGGGUUUCACCGUGUUAGCCAGGAUGGUCUCGAUCUCCUGACCUCAUCAUCUGCCCGCCCUGGCCUCCCAAAGUGUUGGGAUUACAGGCAUGAGCCACUGCGCCCGGCCUCUUUGAGAUGGAGUCUUGCUGUGGUCCAGGCUGGAGUGCAGUGGUGGGAUCUCAGCUCACUGCAGACUUUGCCUCCUGGGUUCAAGUGAUUCUCCUGCCUCAGCCUCUUUAGUAGCUGGGACUACGGGCUUGUGUCACCACACCUGGCUAAUUCUUGUAGUUUUAGUAGAGAUGGGGUUUUGCCAUGUUGGCCAGGCUGGUCUUGAACUCCUGACUUCAGGUGAUCCACCCACCUCGGCCUCCCGAAGUUUUGGCAUUACAAGCAUGAGCCACUGCACCUGGCAUGCUGCUUAAUCGUGCAGCAGGAGUGUGUUGGGCAAAGUUCUGUCUGAGCACCUGUGAUGUGAGGGAUGGAGGGACCCCAAGCAGGUAUCUAUGAUGAUAUCGCGGCAGUGGUUGGCCAUACCAGCUGCUGGGGUUCCAGCCCCAGUUCUGCCUUUGGCUAGUUAGUCCCCUCCCAAGGCAUCAGUUCCCUCAUUUCCUACCCAAGGAGAAUAUAGACAGUGCCAGUUCCCAAGAUGGUUGUAAGCACUGAGGGAUAGGCUAUAAGGGGAACCCUUCUAACCACGGCCAGUGCAUGAUGACUGCUCGGGAGAGGUUAUCAUUGGUGUGUCCCUUUGUCAUUAGUAAUCACGGGUGACUCCAGGGCAGAAGUCAGGUACACUGGGUCUGUCACUCACUCCGUGAGACAGUGGGCAGGUCCCCAAACUUCUCUGAUCCUCUCUGUUUCCUGGUUAGUCAAUGGGAGAUUAAAUCAAAACCAGAGG